CGGUAAUUCCAGCUCCAAUAGCGUAUACUAAAGUUGUUGCAGUUAAAAAGCUCGUAGUUGGAUUUCUGCGGGGACGGAGCGGCCGGUCGCAACUUGCGACUCGAGCUAGCGCUUUCCCCGCAUCCUGCCGCGAACCGUGCUACCAUUAGCUUGGUGGCGCUGGGGAUCGGCUCGAUUACUUUGAGAAAAAUAGAGUGUUCAAAGCAGGCCACACGCCUUGAAUAAGUUAGCAUGGAAUAAUGACUAAGGACUUCGGUUCUAUUUUGUUGGUGUUCGGGACUGAAGUAAUGAUUGAUAGGGACAGUUGGGGCGGUCUGUAUUCCAAAGCGAGAGGUGAAAUUCUUAGACCUUCGGAGGACAAACAGCUGCGAAAGCGUUCCGCAAGGAUGUUCCCUUUGAUCAAGAACGAAAGUUGGGGGAUCGAGGACGAUCAGAUACCGUCGUAGUCUCAACUAUAAACUAUACCAGCUAGGGAUCGGUCAACGUUUAAUCAUUCGACUUGAUCGGCACCUUAUGAGAAAUCAAAGCAUCUGGGUUCCGGGGGGAGUAUGGUCGCAAGGCUGAAACUUAAAGGAAUUGACGGAAGGGCACCACCAGCCGUGGAGCCUGUGGCUUAAUUUGACUCAACACGGGAAAACUUACCAGGUCCAGACAUAGUAAGGAUUGACAGAUUGAUAGCUCUUUCUUGAUUCUGUGGGUGGUGGUGCAUGGCCGUUCUUAGUUGGUGGAGUGAUUUGUCUGGUUAAUUCCGUUAACGAACGAGACCCCAGCCUGCUAAAUAGCGCGGCUGAGCUUUGCUCGGUGCGAGCUUCUUAGAGGGACUAUGAUGCGCGAUAGCACAUGGAAGUUUGGGACAAUAACAGGUCUGUGAUGCCCUUAGAUGUUCUGGGCCGCACACGGGCUACACUGGCGCCUGCAACGAGCAUAUCAGCUGGCCCGAGAGGGUCUUGGCUAAUCUUUUGAACCGGCGCCGUGCUUGGGAUUGACCAUUGCAAUUGUUGGUCAUGCAACGAGGAAUGCCUUGUAAACGCGAGUCAUCAGCUCGCAUUGAAUACGUCCCUGCUCCUUGUACAACCGCCC
rnacentral:rRNA from 1 species